AGCAGCCCCUGUGCCACGGGAGCCGGCCUCGGAGGAGCCACCAGAGCUGUUCCUUGGGGUGCUGGAGGAGGAUUGCUGGCCUCAGCCUGGACUCCGUCCUGCAUCCCAGGCUCCCCAGCCCUCUUGGGAUGCAGGUGAGGGGUGCCAAGCUGCUUUGGGGUGAGGCCAGCACAAGCCCACUCCUUGCAUUGCACACCCUUGAAAGAGUGAGCCUGGUUCUGCACCACAUCUGCUGUGGAGAGCCGUGGUGACUGCGCUGGUGGGCUCAACCCUGGGGAAUCUGCUGCUUUGGUUUUGUCCCUGACUAUCCUGGGAGAUGGGCAACAGCUUCUGGGUGCAGGCACUGCCAGCAGCACAGGGGAGGAGGAAGAAGAGGAAAAAGAUGCUGAGGAAUGGCCACGACAGCAAGGGCUGCCCCAGGCACAAUGCUCUUCAAGGUUUCUCAAGAGGCCUCAGCUGCUCUUUCAAGGCACAAGCACCCCAGAGCCAGGGCGGCACGGAGCUGGUCCCAGCAGAGCCCACACACUGGGGUUGCUUGGUGUGACCACAGCCACGCUCUGGUUUCUUCAUUUGCAUGGCUUUACUCCCACGAGGCCAAUAUCCCAUCCAGGACGGCACAGACAAGCUGCAAAGCCCUGCUCAGCAGUGGUGACUCACUCGAGUGAGAUGGGAAACUCAUUGCUCCUGCCAGCCCAGAUGCAAAUUGUUACCAGGCAGGGACCAGCAGGGAAGAUGUUCCUGUGGAGGGAAGGAAGCUGGAGGAGGACUCCACUCGGCUGGCUUGUCACUGCCCUUCAUUCGUCCCCAUCCUUACACUGCACAGUGAAGGUAUGUCAUCCUCUUUGUCACUGUGCACUGCUUGUGUCACCCAGCCAGUAUCAAGAACUUCUCUCUGCCAAUGUGCUUCUUAGCCACAGUCCUAGGUGUGCAUCCUGCUGGGCUUGGGGUCUCUGUCACCUCAGUACCCUGGUGUGGGAAGAGCUGUAGGGCACUGUUCUGGCAUGUGGGGCGGGUGCUGGAGUCCCCUUCCCACCACAUUCCCCCAGCACCUCCAUGCCUCAGGUGAGCAGGCCUUGCUGUUAUUGCUUUUACAUCCUUCAGUCACUGUAAUUUGCUCUAGUGAACCCCUAAAACCCCAGUGCUGAGCUGCUCUUGAGCUGGGAGCACUGGAAGUACAACAGUGCAUCAAGGGCUCUCCCUGGGAACCAUGCCACAGCCUCAACUUCCCCACACUCUUAAAUUAACUAUAGUUGAAGCAGUCACAAGUCUUAAAUCCAGUCUCCUUGCCUGUAAUGUGACCUCUUACCUUCCUCUGAUCCCCCCAAUUAAAAGUGCUUGUUUUUGCUGUGGACAUCCACUCGUGUCUAAUUAGUGGAUUGUUUCUGUCAAGGACAGUAGCAGCCUCGACAGUGAGCCCUAAUUUAAGUAGUUUGCAUUUGUCUGCAGCAUUGGUGCGUUCAUAUACUCCUGCUCCUAAUUAACUGCAUCUGGAUAUCUGCAGAGGGAGCUCUCAUGAUCUCUCCAUGGCUCUAAUUAAAAUGGCCUGGAUGUCCAUGACAUUGGUGCCUGUCAAGCCUGUCACCAGGAGGUGAUGCCCACCUUGGAAGUGGCUGAAGAACGUGUAGGAGUCGUUGUUCCUGAGAAAGGCCUCCACAUCCAAGCCCUCCUGAAGCGCCUCAGCCACCAGCCCUGGGCUGCAGAAGGCUCCUGCUGCCUCCGUUGGCCCGUCCUGCCCGUCUGUUCCCCCGCUGAGGAAGAGGAUCUCACACCUCCCUUGGGGGCUGCUGGCUCCUGUGCAGGCCUGAGCCCGGUGCAGCCCCAGCGCCACACGCAGGGCCAGCUCCUGGUUUCUCCCUCCCUUGCCGGUUCCUUGGAGCUGGACUGUGGUUUCUCCACCGGCCAGGAUGCAGACUGGUCUGUCAGGCCCUAAUCCUCGCAGGGCCUUUAGAAACUCAUCAAGCUCCAAACCUGGGAUCUGUAGCUCUGCUGCCAGCUGCAGGAGAUUCCCCCUCAGCUCGUCACUCAGGGGCCCGUCUCCGAGGCCGGCGAAGCCCAGGCAGACCAGCUGGAUCAGCUGGCAGUACAGCGUGGCAACACGGCCGACUUCCCCAUGGACUGCUGCACUCAGGACCAGAGCUGCAUAGCCCAGGCCCUCGGCCUGGUGUUUGGCCUCUUCCAAAGCCAGUGUGUUUGACCCAAGGAUGAUGUUGGAAACGUGGGAGUAGUUUUCUGGAGCAGUGGGCUUGGUGGGAGAGCUGGAGAGGACCGUUUCCACUGACUUGGGCAGGUUGUGCAGCAGGUUGUAUUUGGUGAGUAUCUGAAGGCAGUCUUGGACACUGUGGGAGCUGGCAGCAGUGGGCCCACUUGCUAUGAUGUCCAGGGGGUCACCUAUCACGUCAGACAGGAUGAGACUCACCACCUGUGGAAAGAAAUGCCCACAGAUUAUUGCAGGAGGCAAAGACAGGUGACCACACAAGAGCCCUGGCAUAAGCACUGAUCUGAGUGCCACCCCCACAUCAAAGCAGAUGGAAACAGGGUAGGUUUGUGACUAUUUUUAUUUUAUGGACCUGUGAGUGUCACUUUGCCCUUCUCAAGCCCACAUAUUUGCAGUCCCCUUUGAAGUUGGACCAUCAUGUUGGAAGAUGUAGCCUGUGACACUGCACUUGUCAGGCCCAACCCAGUGUGGAUUCGGCAAUGGCACACGCUGAGAACAGCCCCCAGGGGAGCCAAGGGUCAGAGUCAGCCUUGAAAGUGCUGUGCUGAAGCACCAACACUGGGAAGUGCCUGCUGGGUGUGGGCUGUGGUCUGCAGAGAGUGGUGUGAUGGGAUGGCUGGUGUUUCCCAAGUCUGAAUUCCCACUCUUCCAUCUCUGUCUCCCUGAGAGUUUCGGUCCUUAGUGAAACCUCAGCCAGAGGGCCCCAAAACAGUGUGCAGAGUUCACUCAGUAUAGAGAAAAACCUUGCAAGUUGAUUAAACCUCUAUUUUGAGGGUAGAUGGGUGAUCUCUGGGCAAGCAGGGGCUUUCCCUUGGUUACCCGUGCAGGAUGUGCCAGCUGGGCCAGCCCUCCACCCUUCAGCACGGACAGAGUCUUCCGGACAAUGUUCAGCUCCUGUAUGGCAGCUCCUCGGGAAGCCAACAGCUUUGUGAGUUUCUCCUUCUCUUCAAGGAGCAUGGGAGGGAUGGGAGCAGGCAGUAGGGCUGAUCCACCCCCUAGGAUGCAGAAGAGAUGGUAAGGAUGUCAGGAUAGAAGGAAAAGGAGGACAAAGGAGAGCAAGGCUUGAACCUUUUCUCUUCCCUCACCAGUGUCUGGAGGGAAGGCAGAGGUGAUUGGGGACCUAAGCUAACAUCUCUGGAGAAUUCAGUCAUCUUCACCAAUGGGUUUUAUUUACUGCUGUCCUGCACUCUCUGCAGCCAGCUACACUUCACCCAGGCAGUGUGAGCCUGGCUGGAUGGGGGCACCACAAGCCUGCAGUGUUGUGGGGAUGACAGAAGAGGGACAGCAACUACCCUCACCUCUGCACUGGGCUACAAGUGGGUCCUCACACUGAUAUUCAAUGACUGCCUGGGUGGGUGAGCAGGGAGCACGGCCUCCACAGCUCACACUGCAGUCAGUGCUGGGCACAUGGGGACACUGCCUGCUUUGGUGGCUCCAUUUAUUCAGGAUAGUGUGUAAAAACACUGGCUAGGGAUGCAGCAAGAUUGGAAAGUGCUGAACCGCAUUCAUCUAGGCCUGGGAGGAAAGAAAAGGGGGGACAGUAAUGCAAAGGACAAAGCACACCCAGAGUCCAGGGUGAUAGCUUCACUGAUGGGAAUUCUGUCUGAUACAAGCAGGCAUUGGAAAUGUGGAAAAGAAGGCAAGGUUCUAAUGGAAAAGUGGAAUGGAUGGAAAACACAGAGGAGAAAAGAGCAAGGUCUGUGCAGAGAGUGAACACGCACAGAAGUACAGCUGAAAGCUACUGUCAAAAUGCAAAGGCUGCUCAGAGGUUUGAGACAAAUCAGCAUCAAUAAAACAUGAUGAGCAAGAAAAACAAAUGCAAA